rnacentral:rRNA from 1 species
AGUGAACGCUGGCGGUAGGCCUAACACAUGCAAGUCGAACGGCAGCACAGUAAGAGCUUGCUCUUACGGGUGGCGAGUGGCGGACGGGUGAGGAAUACAUCGGAAUCUACUUUUUCGUGGGGGAUAACGUAGGGAAACUUACGCUAAUACCGCAUACGACCUACGGGUGAAAGUAGGGGAUCUUCGGACCUUGCGCGAUUGAAUGAGCCGAUGUCGGAUUAGCUAGUUGGCGGGGUAAAGGCCCACCAAGGCGACGAUCCGUAGCUGGUCUGAGAGGAUGAUCAGACACACUGGAACUGAGACACGGUCCAGACUCCUACGGGAGGCAGCAGUGGGGAAUAUUGGACAAUGGGCGCAAGCCUGAUCCAGCCAUACCGCGUGGGUGAAGAAGGCCUUCGGGUUGUAAAGCCCUUUUGUUGGGAAAGAAAAGCAGCAGGUUAAUACCCCGCUGUUCUGACGGUACCCAAAGAAUAAGCACCGGCUAACUUCGUG